rnacentral:rRNA from 1 species
GACGAACGCUGGCGGCGUGCCUAAUACAUGCAAGUCGAGCGCAGGAAACUGACGGAACUCUUCGGAGGGAAGGCAGCGGAAUGAGCGGCGGACGGGUGAGUAACACGUAAGGAACCUGCCUCAAGGAUUGGGAUAACUCCGAGAAAUCGGAGCUAAUACCGGAUAGUUCAACGGACCGCAUGGUCCGCUGAUGAAAGGCGCUUCGGCGUCACCUUGAGAUGGCCUUGCGGUGCAUUAGCUAGUUGGUGGGGUAACGGCCCACCAAGGCGACGAUGCAUAGCCGACCUGAGAGGGUGAUCGGCCACACUGGGACUGAGACACGGCCCAGACUCCUACGGGAGGCAGCAGUAGGGAAUCUUCCACAAUGGACGAAAGUCUGAUGGAACAACGCCGCGUGAGUGAUGAAGGUUUUCGGAUCGUAAAACUCUGUUGUAAGGGAAGAACACGUACGAGAGGAAAUGCUCGUACCUUGACGGUACCUUACGAGAAAGCCACGGCUAACUACGUGCCAGCCGCCGCUGUAAUAC